UACGUAGGGUGCGAGCGUUAAUCGGAAUUACUGGGCGUAAAGCGUGCGCAGGCGGUUGUGCAAGACAGAUGUGAAAUCCCCGGGCUCAACCUGGGAAUGGCAUUUGUGACUGCACGGCUAGAGUGUGUCAGAGGGGGGUAGAAUUCCACGUGUAGCAGUGAAAUGCGUAGAUAUGUGGAGGAAUACCGAUGGCGAAGGCAGCCCCCUGGGAUAACACUGACGCUCAUGCACGAAAGCGUGGGGAGCAAACAGG
rnacentral:rRNA from 1 species